rnacentral:rRNA from 1 species
GACGAACGCUGGCGGCGUGCCUAAUACAUGCAAGUAGAACGCAGUUGCGAACGGGUGAGUUACGCGAAGGUAACUGCCUGGUCGCGGGGGAUAACUAUUGGAUACGAUAGCUAAUACCGCAUCCUCCCAGACUGACCUGCGUUGUAUUAGCUCGUUGGUGAGGUAACGGCGCACCAAGGCAACGAUACAUAGCCGAGCUGGAAGGGUGAACGGCCACAAUGGGAAUGGGACAAGGGCCAGAAUCCUACGGGAGGGAGCAGUUGGGGAUCAUCGGCAAUGGGGGGAAGUCUGACGAAGCAACGCCGCGUGAGUGAAAAAGGUUUUCGGAUUGUAAAGCUCUGUUGAUAGGGAAGCGGUACUUAAAGAGAAAGGGACGGCUAACUACGUGCCAGCAGCCGCGAUAAUAC